UACGUAGGGCGCGAGCGUUGUCCGGAAUUAUUGGGCGUAAAGAGCUCGUAGGCGGCUUGUCGCGUCUGUUGUGAAAGCCCGGGGCUUAACCCCGGGUCUGCAGUGGAUACGGGCAGGCUAGAGGCAGGUAGGGGAGAACGGAAUUCCCGGUGUAGCGGUGAAAUGCGCAGAUAUCGGGAGGAACACCGGUGGCGAAGGCGGUUCUCUGGGCCUGUACUGACGCUGAGGAGCGAAAGCGUGGGGAGCGAACAGG
rnacentral:rRNA from 1 species